UACAGAGGGUGCAAGCGUUAAUCGGAGUUACUGGGCGUAAAGGGCGCGUAGGCGGUGAAGUGUGUGUGAUGUGAAAGCCCCGGGCUUAACCUGGGAAGUGCAUCGCAAACUACUUGACUGGAGUAGAUGAGAGGGUGGCGGAAUUUCCGGUGUAGCGGUGAAAUGCGUAGAGAUCGGAAGGAACGUCAAUGGCGAAGGCAGCCACCUGGCAUCAUACUGACGCUGAGGCGCGAAAGCGUGGGGAGCGAACAGG
rnacentral:rRNA from 1 species